AACGGGCGAGUGAAGCGGUAAAAGCUCAAAUUUGAAAUCUGGUACUUUCAGUGCCCGAGUUGUAUUUGUAGAAUUUGUCUUUGAUUAGGUCCUUGUCUAUGUUCCUUGGAACAGGACGUCAUAGAGGGUGAGAAUCCCGUUUGGCGAGGAUACCUUUUCUCUGUAAGACUUUUUCGAAGAGUCGAGUUGUUUGGGAAUGCAGCUCAAAGUGGGUGGUAAAUUCCAUCUAAAGCUAAAUAUUGGCGAGAGACCGAUAGCGAACAAGUACAGUGAUGGAAAGAUGAAAAGAACUUUGAAAAGAGAGUGAAAAAGUACGUGAAAUUGUUGAAAGGGAAGGGCAUUUGAUCAGACAUGGUGUUUUUUGCAUGCACUCGCCUCUCGUGGGCUUGGGCCUCUCAAAAAUUUCACUGGGCCAACAUCAAUUCUGGCAGUAGGAUAAAUCAUUAAGAAUGUAGCUACCUCGGUAGUGUUAUAGCUUAUUGGAAUACUGCUAGCUGGGAUUGAGGACUGCGCUUCGGCAAGGAUGUUGGCAUAAUGGGUUAAAUGCCGCCCGUCUUG
rnacentral:rRNA from 1 species